rnacentral:misc_RNA from 1 species
UACAGAGGGUGCAAGCGUUAAUCGGAAUAAUUGGGCGUAAAGGGUGCGUAGGUGGUUACUUAAGUCUUAUGUGAAAGUCAAUGGCUCAACCAUUGAAAGCCAUAAGAAACUGGAUAACUAGAGUACUGUAGAGGGUAGUGGAAUUUCUGGUGUAGCGGUGAAAUGCGUAGAUAUCAGAAGGAACAUCAGUGGCGAAGGCGACUACCUGGACAGAUACUGACACUGAGGCACGAAAGCGUGGGUAGCGAACAGG